AUGAGGAACCCCACUCAGCUCCUGGGGCUCUUGCUGCUCUGGUUCCCAGGUGCCAGAUGUGACAUCCAGAUGACCCAGUCUCCAUCCUCCCUGUCUGCAUCUCUAGGAGACACAGUCACGAUCAUUUGCCAGGCCAGUCAGGGCAUUAGCACGUGGUUAUCCUGGUAUCAGCAGAAACCAGGGAAGUCUCCUAAGCUCCUGAUCUAUGCUGCAUCUAAUUUACAAAGUGUGGUCUCAUCAAGGUUCAGUGGCAGUGGAUCUGGGACAGACUUCAUUCUCACCCUCAGCAGCCUGGAGUCUGAUAAUAUUGGAACUUAUUACUGUCAACAAUAUAAUAUUAGACUCUGA